GACGAACGCUGGCGGCGUGCUUAACACAUGCAAGUCGAGCGGAAAGGCCCUUUCGGGGGUACUCGAGCGGCGAACGGGUGAGUAACACGUGAGUAAUCUGCCCUUGGCUUUGGGAUAACCACCGGAAACGGUGGCUAAUACCGGAUAUGACGCGCCCCGGUAUCGGGGUGUGUGGAAAGUUUUUUCGGCCAGGGAUGUGCUCGUGGCCUAUCAGCUUGUUGGUGGGGUAAUGGCCGACCAAUGCCUCGACGUGUAGCCGGCCUGUGAGGGUGACCGGCCAAGCUGGGACUGAGACACGGCCCGGAGUCAGACGGGAGGCAGCAGUGGGGAAUAUUGGACGAUGGGCGGAAGCCUGAUCCAGCAACGCCGCGUGAGGGAUGACGGCCUUCGGGUUGUAAACCUCUUUCAGUACCGACGAAGCGCCGAUGAUGGUGGUGACGGUAGGUACAGAAGAAGCACCGGCCAACUACGUGCCAGCAGCCGCCGUAA
rnacentral:rRNA from 1 species